rnacentral:rRNA from 1 species
UACGAAGGGGGCGAGCGUUGUUCGGAUUUACUGGGCGUAAAGGGCGCGCAGGCGGCUUAUUUUGUCAGGCGUGAAAGCCCCGGGCUUAACCUGGGAACUGCGUUUGAUACGGAUGGGCUAGAGUUCGGGAGAGGAGAGUGGAAUUCCCAGUGUAGAGGUGAAAUUCGUAGAUAUUGGGAAGAACACCGGUGGCGAAGGCGGCUCUCUGGACCGAGACUGACGCCGAGGCGCGAAAGCGUGGGGAGCAAACAGG